rnacentral:lncRNA from 1 species
UUAAAUUUUAAACUCAACUUUAUAACCAAAAAUACACUUGGUAAAUUGCAUGACAACGAAAGGUCAUAUAAGAAUCUCUAAGCCCAUUGUAGUACCCUAAUUUUGUCCGUUUUGAAAACAAAUAUAAGAAGGAAAUAUGUAUUUAAAAAAGGAAAUAAAAAUAAUUACAAUAAAUAAUUUCAUUAUAUAUUAAAUUUACAAUUUCAAAUCUAAUUAGAGUUUUAAAACCAAAUCAAAUUACAAACUAAAAUAAAGGCAAAAAUAAAUUACAAUAAAAUUUAAAUCAGAUCAAGCCAGCCUUGCUAUGUUGACUUUGUUCACUGCCAAACUCUGCCAUGUUGAUGAUGACUGCCAUUGAUGCACAAGCCAUGCUUAUGGGUACAUCUGUUCCUGUUUUAACUGAAUUGAGAAACAUAAAAACAUAAUUUUUUAAAUCAGUCUUGGUACACAUUGUGCAGAACAAAGAGACAACCUUUAGAGUUUAAAAAAAGAAACUAAAAGACAAAUUAAAGCUCAGCAAUAGAACAGAUCAAAGCAAGUAAAUCAAAAUCAUGAAUGCAUCAGAGGUGUAGAAAAAACGCAGAUGAUGAGCAAAGGAAAAAAACAUCAAACAGGAAAUAGAUAGAACAGAGACACAGCCAAGAAAACAACUAAUCAGAUAAAAAAACUCUAUAAAAACAUCUGUUUUUUUUACAAAGUGGGGAGACAUUUUUUUUGAGGAGGAGAAAUCUGAGAUUAAUANNN